CGCGUAGGCGGGUGCUCAAGUCCGGGGUGAAAUCCUCCAGCUCAACUGGAGAACUGCCUCGGAUACUGGGUGUCUCGAGGGUGGUAGGGGUAUGCGGAACUAUCGGUGGAGCGGUGAAAUGCGUUGAUAUCGAUAGGAACUCCGGUGGCGAAGGCGGCAUACUGGACCACCUCUGACGCUGAGGCGCGAAAGCCAGGGGAGGCAAACG
rnacentral:rRNA from 1 species